CAUACAUUCUUCAAUAAAAUAAUAUUACAUGUAAAUUUGAAAUUUUUCCUUAUAUUUUAAUUAUAUUUCCCAUCAAUACACUAUUCAAAAAUUUAUUCUUAUAAAAAGAAUGGGGCUCAAACAACAGGUAAAUUUUAAUACUGCAUAUGACUGUAAAAAAAUAUAAGUUUAAUGUGGUACGUUUUUCCUUGUCAGGGAUAAAACUAACGUCGACUUACCGAUUCACGCUGUGGGAAAAUAGUAGGCUUGAAUACCUUCGAAGGUGUCUGUGUCUAUAAAAGGUGCCUGCAACGUUUAAAGACAGAAAAUCAUGCUUCAUUUCAUUCUAAGAUUCUUUCUAUAGUUAUGAUCUAAAAAUGUCCUCGACUCAUUUUUUUCAUGAAUUUUGGUUACAUUUCCU
rnacentral:lncRNA from 1 species